GUUCAUGAAGAUCAAGUGAGAUUACCAAAAGAGAGUGAACAAAAAAAGCGUGAAAAGAGAGAGAGCGGGCCGAGAAAAAAAGAGAGAAAAGGCAAAUAUAGAUCCGUCCAUUGAGGUAAACAGAGAGAAAAUAAAAGAAUUUGUUAUGCAAAGCAAGAAAUCAAGAGAGCAAUAUUUUCAAUCACAAAUCAGGCCGUGAUUGUACUCUUGUACAAGGAGCAUUUAUUAACUAACGGAUUUGACUUUGUUAUACCUAGUUUCUGUGUAUUCUGUUGCAGGAAUUUUGAGACAUCUUUGCCGAUUAGAUGCCAGCAUGGUUUUGGCCUCCCAUUCGAGGAAUCGAGCAUCAGAUCGAUUUUGUAACCCGGCGCUUCCAUUCAACAGACCACUAUAGGAGUAACCCCGAUGAGACUAAUGAUCUUCAAAGGCAGGUUUAGUAGAAUUAUUAGAAAUGGGUAUGUUACGGAAAGCAUGAGUCCAUGUGCAGUUCAGUUUGUUAGUGAUUCCUAAGAAGGAUGGGACAUGGAGAAUGUGCGUUGAUUGCCGAGCGACCAUAACAUAUAACGGUAAAGUAUCGUCAUCCUAUUCCUCGUUAGAUGAUAUGCUAGAUGAAUUGCAUGGGUUUCUUUUUGUAUUUUCCCUAAAAUUGACUUGAAAAAAUGAUAUCAUACAAAUCCGAAUGAAGAAGGCGAUGAGUGUAAAACUUGCAUUCAAAACUAAAUAUGGAUUGUACGAGUGGUUUAGUAAUGCCAUUUGGUCUACUAAUGCUCCGAGUACUUUUUUUUUCAUGCGUUUUAAUGAUCAUAUUUUGGCGUACAUUUACGGAAAAUGUGUUGUUUUAUUUUUGAUGACAUCCUCAAUAUAUAGUAAAAACUUGGAUGUCAUGUACAACUUUAAAAUCAUGGUUUUAGAUGUGCUUUAGACAAGAAAUUAUUUGCUAAUCUGAAAGUUACUUUUUGGUACGGAUAAAUCUAUGUUUCCUUUUCUAGGCUUUGUUGUGCAGUGCGCAGGGCCUACAUGUUGAUGCGAGAAGAUACGUGUCAUCCAAGGAUGGCCAGUCCCACAACCGUUGGAUUGAGGAGUUUUCAUAGACUUGGUGCUAGUUUUCUUCUCCCGACGGUUUGUGAGAUUUCAGCACUUAGUCGCACCACUUUACGGAAAGUAAUCAAGAAAACGUUGGUUUUAAGUGGGAGACGAACCAAGAAAGGGCAUUUUAUUGGUCAGCAAAGGCUGACCAACGCUUCCUUUUAUUAUCUUUGCCCAUAUUUUUGCUAAAAUAUGUGAAUUGAAGUGAUCGUCAGGUAAUGGGUAUGGCGCCGUUUUAAUGCAAGAGGGAACGACCAAUAGCUACUUUCAGUGAGAAACUAAGUGGGGCAAAAAGCCUUAAACUACCCACUUAUGAUAAGGAGUUGUAAUGCAUUAUUAGAGCGUUGGAGACAUUGCGCGUCACUACCUAUGGCAUAGAGAAUUCUUGAUCCCUCAUAUCAUGAGUCUUUAAACAUUUACAAUGGCAGCCUAAACUGAACAAAAAGACAUGCCCGAUGGAUGGAGUUCAUCGAGACAUUUCCGUACGUUAUCCGAUACAGAAGCAAUGUAGGAAAACGUCGUUUCCGAUGCACUUUCCCCCCCCCUCUCAGGUACGUGUUGCUUUCAACCUCUUGAUGCUAAAUUACUUGGUUUUUGAGCAAAUUAAAUGAAAUUAUCUCAACAGACCAUGAUUUUUGUGAAGAUAUAAAAUUGAGCGAUAACUCCGCAAAUUAAGGUAUUUUAGCAUGAUGGAUUCUUGUUUCGUGGAACAAAUUAAUGCGUGCCUAAUUGCUCCGGUAGAGAUUGCUGGUUAGAGAAUACAUGGUGGAGGCUUGAAUGGGACAUUUUGGAAUCCCAUGAUUUGAUUCCUUUUGCUGUAGUGAUGAACUUGAUUGAGGACAAAUCAUUUUCAGAAGAGGAGAAUGAUGAGGACAUGGCUAACACGAGAUCACAGAAUUGCGGAUCCAAUUCAAGUUCCCAUCGGCCCAAUUACAUGGAGCACGUGCCAAGAAUUUCAAAAUGCAUUAAGUGGGCUGAUUCAAGGGAUUUGGGCUCAAACAAGCAGUGGAGGCCAUGAUGGUAAUGAAGAAAAUAUCCAGCCCUUAAUAAGCAUAUUCAAGUCUAAAGAAAGUCAAUUAGACAACAUAGGAGCUGACUUCCUUAAAGUUGGAGAAUUCUGUACACACACUUAGGCCUAAAGUAGGAGUUAAUGUAUGUUGUCUUAUUAAAUUGGAAACUUUAUUAUGGCAGAAUUUUAGGGCUGAAAUUAAGAGAUAAAGUCAGACUUUGACUUCAUUAAAUUGAGGUCAAAGUUUUCUUAGUUAGAUUUGCUAAGGUUGAUCUUUGUGGACUAGUGUAAAAUUGUCCUCCUUUCCUUUGAAGCGGGGGUGGUUGUAUUGAGUGAGAGUAUUUUCUUAUGUUCUGUGAAAUAAUUUGAAACUUAGCAGAUUUCUCUGUGGCAUUCAUCUGGACUUAUUCAAUCGAGUAUUUCACCUGAUGUGGGCGUCCUCCUUUAUAGCAAGGUUCACAUCCUUUAUAGGUGUUUGAUCGCGGUUUCAAUCUAAAACCUAACGUAGAACGGUCUUAGGCAACAUACUGAUACAGGUUCGUUACAACGAGACGGGGUUCGUAUCACUUCUACCCUUAAGGACGCAUUUCCUAUAGAGAAGGUGACAUCAUCCCCUAUGGUCUAAUCCUCUAGUCUGCCUGGGGCCAAGCAGCCAUCUUUUUUUGACAUGCUUAAUACAAAUAGGCUAGUUCAAAUUUGAAAGUCAAUACGAAGUCACAUAGCCUUACCAACAUAUCUAGCGUAAUCUUUUUCGAAUUUGGGUCAAAAGAUUAACUUUCUAUCAAUUUGCGAUUACACUUUGUUCUGGGUAUUUCAAAGUAGAUGGUCUGGAACCUUUCCAUUGUUUGAGAUAUCUCAACUUAUGGGCAAUUGAAAUCUAGAAUCCUAAAAAUGAUAAUGUUUUUAAAGUCAAUGGGCAUCUAUUAAAGCCUAUCUUGAGCUUGAGUAGGGAGAAGUUGAGUGUGUGGAUCUCCGUGAGUGGCCUUUUGAAUGAAUUGAGAACUAAUAAUAAUAUGCAUUGGGGCAUUCAUGUUUAUAGUAAAUGCUUAGGUCGAGUCGAGGAUAGCUUAACCCUAGAUGGGGGAGGGGGUGUUGUCCUAUCCUUUUGCCUUUCCCCCGUCUAUCCAUCGUCAUGUCAUUUUGGUUUUCUUCGCAUUUCUCUUAUUCACUCUGCCAUUGCACAUCUCUAGUUGGGGGUACUUCGCAAUACGUGAAUUUUUUUUUUAGGAUAGUUUAAUUUUUGGUCAUAUGGUUGUUUGUUUUCGAUUUUAUAAUUCUUAAAAUACUUAUGUCUAGUGUUCUCUCCCAGGAAGUGACUUAUUGUAUCGCAAGUGUCAGGUCGCGAAGUAGUUAAAAUUCAAAGUACGAGUAUCGAUCCUCACAAAGGAACAUGCAAGGUGACAACAAGAAACUAAAACACUCACGAUCCAUUUUAAACCAAUCCCUACUUAUCUUCAAAAAUUAAAAAUAAAAAUAUUGAUUUGGAAUUUUUUGAUGAGGUUUGGGACUAAAUUUAAAUAAGCAAAACAAAUACCAGAAAAACUGAUUUAACUUGAUAUUAAAGUAAUUCAGAAUCGAUUGAUCCAGUCAAGAGUUUCUCGGAUUCCAACGGAGGCAUACUGAUCACUCAAUCCUUCGACUAUCUUGAGUUCUUAGAUUCGAAAAUUUUAACUUUUAAAACCCAAAUAAUUUUUACUAUUUCACCUCUAAAUAAUUUGUUUGUUAUGAUCAUAGUAAGUGCCAUCAUCGAUCCGCAAUCACACAGAUGUUAUUCGACAUAAUAGAGACUCCCAGUUUUUGAAAGUAUUAAAUCUGGUUACCUUUUUAAAUCAGAUAGUGCACUCAUCGUCCGAAUAACACGAUGCUUAUCGAACUAUAGGACUUCCCCAAGUUUCCGAAAGUUUUAAAUUGGUAAGAAGAAAGUAAAAUUGAAAAAAAUUUAACAGUGGAAAAUCUAAAUUCGACUUCCAAGUAGGACUCCCAGUUACCCCUCUAGUGUUCAUAUCUUGAUUCCAUCCGAUUGACUUUCAACAAUUCGAUUUCCAAUUAAAGAAAGCUAGCCACUAAUAGUUUAGGGUAAACACAAAUCUAAAUAUUGAUCAUGCCUUCUGAACUUCAAGAACUUAUCUAAUGACAUGUAAACAAAGAUAAUUUGAAUUAAUGCAAAAAGAAUUGAAAUCUAUCACUUAAGUGACCAGAAUCAUAAAUUUAUAUUAUUAAAACAAACAAGAUUUUAAUGUACAAACUUAACAACAAAGAAAUAAUGAAAAAUUUUAAAAAAUUAAAAACCAACAAACUAAAAAAAAAAGGCUGGACAUCCUAAACAGUGUCCCGUCUUCAAAAAUAGAAGGAUAAUAUAAGGCACCUUCCAAAUCAGUCUAAACGGAUUAGUGUGUAAGGACCCAAUUUGCAUACUUUUCCGAAAUAAGUUGGGUUACAAUGUGAGGAAUUGCAAUUUUAUUAAGAGAGAUUAAUGGAUAUAGUAAAGUAUAGACAUUUGGGUGUGUUUAGUAGUACACAUUUGAAAGUCUAGGGGUAAAAGUGUGAAGUGGUGAGAGAUAAUAGGACUUUUUAGUCAAAAAAAAAAAAGAAAAAAGAAGAAUUAUCAGCCCUCUUCAGCCGAUUCUCCCUCCAUCUCCCCCGCCCCUCUUCUCGCUUUCUGAUCUCCAUUUUCUUUUCUCUUCUAUUCUUGCUCAACUCUCUCUAAAACUGUCCCCUAACAUCUCCUUCCCCCUUCAAUACCCACACGAAAAACUCACUUCUUCUACACGUAUUGAAGCUUCAUAGCUCGUUUAUCUCCGCACCAGACUCAUAUUUUCGGAUUGGAAGUUCAUUGGAGGCUAGGAUUUUUCAACUUUGCCUUCAAUCCAAGCUCAAAUCUUGAUGUAGGAAGACCAUUCUACUUUCUUUAGAUUGUAUCUAUGGUGUACAGCUAUGCCCUUGUUCUUGUUGCUCUGUUUCUCCUUCCAAUUUAUCCUAAAUUGUCCAUUUUGCUUCCAAGUGGGUUUGUCUUGAGUUAGAUUUGUGACUACACAUUGAGAACUUGUUUGAUGAAAUUUGGUUUGAUUUACUCUCCUUUAAUGUCUAUUUAUUGUGCUCUACAUAUCAAAAUUUUGCCUAAGAUCGCACAAUGGUGUUUGGGUUGAAAGUCCAUCAACCUCUAGGUGAAAAUUUGUCAUGUGUUGUCCCUGAGUUAGCGCCUGCUGCCCCUAGUUUUUCCAGCACCUAUACUCUGUUUUUGUGAAGAUUUCCCUAACAUCAUUUGAGUGUGCCACAUUUGGCCCCCCCAUUGUCCACCCUUUUCCCCUUCGUAUUUCUCUGACCCUUAACCAACCACCAAUUUGGACACCGAAUCACCUUGAUAUCAUGAAUUUAAAAAACCAGUGGACAUGUGAUUUACUAAAUUUCCUUAGUUGUCAUGAAUUAACACCAGCGUCGGUUGAUUUUUUUUUUAUGAAAACGGUGAAUUUUUUGGACUAAAUGGGGACUCUUUUGGGAGAGUUUUUGGAAAAGGCAAAUUGUUUUGACCUGAUAUUAAUGGAUAAAAGAACUCUAGGGAUCACUUCACACUCGUCUUGGUGCUCCCUAGACUUUGGGUGCACGGAGCCCACGAACCCCGGCGGGGGCACAGAGCCCUGAAAUCCGGCGGGGGUAUACGGAGCCUCACGAAAUCCGGCGGGGUGCACGGAGGCCUCCAUGAAAUCACGGCAAGAGGAAUACUUCCCUAAUAAAUUGAUGAGUAAUUUUUUAAUAAAUAUAAAAUCCUGUUUUGAUUGUAUUGGGCGAAAAUAUGUUUUCCUAUGAGAACGCGAGAAGUUUGGAAAUUGGUUGGAUUUUGGUGGGAUAUUUAAACUAAUUUGGGACACUUGAAACGAACAUAAUUUGACAUAUGAAACCAUUUUGAGUACUUAGUGUGGAUUAAAGUCUUUUGUUUCAUGCCCCUAUCCUUAUCCAUCUGGUCGUAUCCUCAUUUACUUCACUCCUUUAAUGCAUGUAUCAUCAUGUUUAAAACACCCUAGCGACGGUAGAAUAGUUUCCUACUGGGCUAGUGGAGCUCAACAACCUAUACAUUUUCAGACUCGGCCAGGAGCACUGAAUGGAUGCUUGAAGUGUGGCUUGCAAUGACUUGUAGUCAUCGAGCAUGAAGUUUUUUUUUUUUAUCUUCCACUGUUUUAUAUGAUUUGAAAGACGUUUCGUAACUUCUAUUUUAAAUCUUUUGACUAUUUGGUUAUUGUAAAUAACUUUAAUAUAACUAAACUUUGGUACUUAUGCAUUCGGGUUAUGGAGGUUAGUGGAUAUAACUUAUUUACAUCCCACUGGUGGGAUUUCUGUUUUGUUACUUUGACUAUUCAAAGGAUAUUAUGAAAUCUUGACUCGUCUACGGUGGAUUUUAUUACUACUUUUGAGUUAUUACAUUUUAGGGCGUGACAUUGGAAUCUUUCUCUGGGAUUAGCUUUAGCGUUCGAACGUUGAUUCCCUUCUCUCAUAACUGUGUUCGAACGCUUAGUACAUAUCUUCUGACUUUUACUUCUUGCGUUUGGACGCCCAAUCCUCCUUCUUCCAUGGAGCGUUCGAAUGCUUAGCGCUGUCAAAAAACAACUUUCAAGUCUCGCUGCGCACUUUUUGAACGUAAGCCAUGGUGUUCGAACGCUACAUUCAAAUUCUCCACUUUUUCGAACUAUAAGUCCCACGGUGCCGUGUCAACACAAAACGACCACGUUUUCAUCAUUUUCUUUUCUUCUUGCGUUCGAACCUCUUCAUAAAAUUCCCAGAUUUCUUUCUUCACAUCGUUCGAACACUACUUUCCUUACUCCUUCCUUCAUUAGCGUUUCGAACGCAAUCAGGUAAUUUUUGCCAUCAACCUUUUUUUCUCUUUUCUCUUCUCUUUAUUGACUUUAUAACCUGCACUAGACUAUAUCCAACCCAUAAAUACAAUAUAUGAUAAAUAUAUUGUGACUCAUUGAGUUACCAAGUAUAGUUUUGAGUUGUUUUCACCGUGUUGGGUUGGCCGUAAAGGCAUUGAUUUUUUUUUUGGAUAAUAUAGGCUUUAUGAUAUCUUUCUAUACUUUCUAUUAAAAACUCGUGGCCGCCGGAAAGAGUUGCAGACCGUGUACAGACCGCUAGGGGUGGUCAAAUUCCUAAGACGUGUCGGAAUACAGGCAAUGAUGAAGUAAGUCCUCCACGGUAAGAAAAUUUGGGGAAUCGCAAUGAUCGACGUGAGCAAAAUGUGGCGCAAUCGGGACUCCCUUUCACCCACCCACCACCACAAACACUUUCCCAAACAAACAAACCAACACACAAACCCCCCUUCUCACCCGUUUAUCGAAAUUUCGUCGACUCCUUACGACACACAUGGCUCAAGUACCUAGACUUUAGCUCAUAUAACUUUCCGACAACCGUGGACUAUGGAAGUAGUAAGGGAAUUCCGCAAGUUGAAACCCUCCUAUGUUUCGACGGGGUUAUAGUGAUCCUUUGGUGCGCCGAUCCAUUGUUCUGUCGGAAAUCUGCAAACUAUUUAUUUGCUAAUGUGACUGAGGAUGCUGUGAGAGUGAAGCUCGUGGCGUGUCAACUAAGUGGGUGAGGCUAAUGAGUAGGAUGUUUGGAAGUCAGUACUUGCCACUAGGAAAGUCAUCAAGGGAAUUGUCUAGGACGGCGGAAAAUGUGAAUGAUCGGACGUAUAGAACAUGACUUGGGCCGAGUUUGAGGUUAUCUUUGAAUACCAAUUAUUUUCCAGAAUCAUGCAAGGACAUUCCUUCGAGAACAAUUUGAGCGGUUUUAAUAAAAAGAAAGGCAAAAAAAAGAGCCAUGACUGUGCAGAGUAAUGCUAUGAAAUUUCAAGCUUAUUUCUCGCUUUGCACCCGGAACUCGUGUCUACGAGGAAAAGAAUGCAAGAUGUUCACAUCCGGGGUUUAGAUGACUCGAUUCAAAAAUGUUGUGAUGAUUGGGGUCCAUAAACAAAUUUUGUCGCAGUAUUGGAGUUUGCACGACAACUUGGAAGCUUCGGGUGGUAGGGUUAACAAGAAACAUGCUAAGGCCCUACCACGCAGUGGUGCGCCACGGGUAGUUCUGGGGUUGUAUCUGGGAACUCUAUGUGAAUCAAAACAUAAUUUAAGAUAAGUUAGGAUAGCCGCUUCAAUUGUUCACCAAACCGUUCUAUCGUUUCGGGCACCUACUCUUCUUCCUUCUUCCUGCUUUGGAGAACAAGCCGUCGUCCCAAAAACCCACCGAUACUUGUCACCAAUGUGCCAACCCGGGCCACAUUCGCCCUCAUGUGCCCAAAUCCCCGAAGACUCUCUCUUCCCCUCCCCAUCUGUGUUCAGGUGCUCCGGGUGCUUGUUUUUGCGGUGCGGUGGAUUUGGCCAUAUUUCUAGGUUUUGUCCACAGGGGAGGUACUCGUCGUGAGUCCGGUUACGGUUCAAACAGUCGAGGCCAAGUUCUGGGUCUGGUCGACCACACAGAGGGGUGCAACACACCGCAGUCACACUACGCCAGACUCCUUCGGCCACGGGCUCCAUGUUGUAGAGGGGCUAGUUCUUCCAUUACCGGUUCAGGCUACCCAGGGACGGUUUUUGCGUCACAAAACCAGCACACCCCAGCUCGCUACAACAAAAAACCCCACCUCUUACUUCUCAUAGUCCCAAGCUCGUCGUCGCGUUGUGCAUGGUACAUUUCUAAUGUUCACUCUUUUGCGAACGUGUUGUUUGAUUUCCCUGAGUAUCGCAUUCUUUCAUUGCCCUCAUCUUUUUGUACUUGGCUUUGGGUUUGGAAACCGAGGAGUUUUCCUCCAUUGUUUGUUUAAUACUAUACCCAUUGGGUGGUAGGGCACCUUGACCGUGAUUGUCGGGGAUGUCGAGUUGGCUCAAUCUUGACGCCGUGUUGAGUUCUAUUUCACAUAGUGUUGAGUAUGUUCGGGUUCGACUUCAAUAUUGGGUAUGGAAGGCUUAUCGACGUAAUCGGCGACUAUUGAUUGCUUUAGCGUCGAGUCCGUUUUUCAAUGCCAGAGGGAGGUUCUUUGAGUUUAUUCGGGGAACGACUGGAGCCCCAUUUGAGCCGUAUUGUGUAUGAAUCAUGCGUAAAGGAUCGAUGGCAUGUUUGUUUGGCGAGGUUGACACUAGAUGAGAAUUCAUCUCACAUUCACAUGGUGAGUUACCACCACCAGCGAGUUGUUUGUGACUUUCCGGAUGUUCUGCCUUUCCGAGAGUUCCACACCCCCACCACCACUUCGGGUUUGCCCACCUCGAUGCGAGAGGUCGAGUUUACAACUAUAUUUAUUACCGGUCACCUGCACACCGAUUUUCGGAUGCCACACCUUUUACACCCCGUUCUUCUUUCCUUUUUCUUUUUUUUUUGGCAACCGGCCUGUUGAGAGAGUUGAAACACAAUUGCAGAAUUACAAACAAGAUUUGGGGUUUAUUUCUUCGAGUACAAUUGCCAUGGGGAGCUGUCCGGCUCUAUUUGCUCAAAGAAGGAUGGGUCGCUCCGUUUGUGCAUAGAUUAAUCGUAAGCUCACCGUGGUCACCGUUAAGAACAAAUAUCCAUGCCUAAAUUGAUGAUUUGGUUUGAUCAACUUCGGGGUGCGACUGCUUUUCUAAAUUGAUUUUUUGAGGUCCGGGGUAUCAUCAACUUAGAGUUCGACGGGAGGACAUCCCAAAACCGCUCUUUCGUACCCUUUAUGGUCAACUAUGAAUUUUGUUGUUAUGCUUUGGUCUCACCCAUUCUCCGGCCCUCUUCAUGGAUUUAUAAUCCGUAUUUUUUUUCGGCUUUACCUUGAAAUUUGUCGUUUUCUUCGUUGAUGAUAUUCUUUUCUAUUCACCUUCUGAGGAGGCUCAGCACCAAUCUCUCAUUUCCAUUGUUCCUUGAAACUCUUGAGAGAGCACCAAUUGUCAUGCUAAGUUGAGCUAAGUGCGAGUUUGGUAUCCGAGGUCAAAAUUUUUUGGGUCAUGUGGUGGUCUAAAGACGGGGUAUCCGUAGAUCCGGGGAAAUUGACUCGUAUUGUGACGUGGUCGAGCAUUCCCGAAGAAUGUUGUAUGAGAUAUGGAUUUCUUGGCUUGGCCGGGUAUUACCAGUCGGUUUGUUCCUCGAUUUUUUCACGUUUAGCGGCACCGUGACCGAUGACUAGGUUGACACGGAAAGGGGACACGUGUUUGUUUGGGACGACCACAGUGCAAAUCGGCAUCUCGAGAGUUAAAGAGUGCGGUUGACCUAGUGCGUCCUAUUUUUAGUUGUGCCCGAGCGUGGAGUUGACUAAUUCCGUGUAUUGUUUAAUGCCUUCCGCGGGAAGGCCUUGCUGCGUAUUGACUGCAACGGGGUGUAAAGUGGUAGCGUAUGGGUCGCGCCAACUUAAGACAAACGACGAAACUAUCCUACGCAUGACUUGGAAUUAGCGGCCAUAAUAUUUUGCAUUGAAAGAGUUGACGCGACAUUACCUGUAAUGGAGAGAAGUUUGAGGUAAUUCUCCGACCCUAAAAAAGUUUGAAGUACCUAUUUUUGCAAAAGGAGCUAAAUUUGAGACAACGCCGUUGGAGGGACACUUGGAGGACUACGACUCUCGAAUUACAAUAUCACCUCGGGAAAGGCAAAUGUGGGUAGCGGAUGCGUUGAGUAGAAACCACCCGGCGUAGUUUAGAGCUAGUUUGGCAAUGGACGAGUAGAAAAUGAUAAGCACUUGGGCUUUUUCACUUUGCAUUGUGAGGAAUCCGCGAUGGAGUCACCUUGUGAUACCUUAACCAUUCAUUCGACGCAUUAUAGACGCGUGUAGUUGGGCACAACAAAUGGAAUGAGGCACGAGAACUUUCCGGGCCAAGUUUCUCACAACGGGGAGGGGCACCAGUGGGUUGGAUAUUCACUGCGCCUGAUCAAAGCCUUCGCUUUCCAGGCAAGUUGUUUGUACCCACUUUCGUGUCGAGAUGGAUUUUUGCGAGAAUUUCAUCACUCCAACCCGUUAGCUGUGCAAUCCGGGUGGGACUAAAACUAAAAUGUUAUCACGACUUGCGUAAGCAAUUUGGUGGUCGGUUGAUGAAAAGGGACUGGCAACUUUCGUGUCUAAGUGCCUAACGGCCAACAAUUUGAAAGCCAGAGCAUCAACGACCGGCAUGAUAGUUGCAAACCCGUUACCGUAGCCGAAUGGAAGUGGAAAAUGUGACGAUGGAUUUUGCUUACGGGUUUACCCUACGCGAUCACCCGAGAGGCAUGACGGCCGUUUGGUUAUAGUGGAAGCCGAUUGACAAACCGCGCCUCUUACGCAUCCAAGUGACCGAUCCCGAUAGAGGCUCUUAGGUAGUCGUUUUAUCAUAUCCGUGAGAUUAUCCGCUUGCAUGUAAUUCCGUAUCUAUAUUGUUCUGAUCGUGAUCCACGUUUUAACAGCUCGUUUUUGGCAAAAGUUGCAAUCUGGCUUGGCAACAAUUUGCUAUUUCGUACCAGCAUAUCACUCCCGCAAACCGAUUGGGCAAUCCAGAGAGACGAUCCAACGUUCUAGCAGUAUGCUUCGAGCUUGUGUUUUAGAUUUUCGGGGUAGUUGGGAGGAUCACCUACCGUUAGUGGAAUUCGCGUAUAACAAUAGCUCCAUCGAGCAUCGAGCAUGGCAUCGUAAUGAGCCUUGUAUUGAAGACCGUGUAGAUCAACCUGUGUGUUGGUUGAAUUGGAGAGAAACAACUUUAAUGGGACCCUGUUAGUGCCGAGACCGCCGCAGAGCAUGGGGUUGAUUCGGCAAAGCUUAAGCCCAUGCAAGAAGUAACGACUGAUAAGGUGGAAAAUGAUUCUCAACCCGUGUUAACCCCGCACAAGCGUCAAAGAGUUACGCCGAUUCGACUCCGAGCCCUCUGUCCUCGUUUGAUAUGUGGGGGAUCAUGUUUUUCUCAAGAUUUCGCCACGAGGGGUUGACUCGCUUUGUGGGCGUUGGGUAAGCUUUCAUCAUCAUCAUCAAUCACCCACCCGCCGUUAUACCGGGGCCUUUUUUAAUUAAUUGAGAAGAUCUGGGAGGUCGCUUAUAUCGCUUAGCUUUUCCACCGAACUUUCGGGCAUUCCUUAUGUGUUUUCCACGUAUCCAUUGUCUUAAAAGUAUCGAACCGGAUCCAUCACACAUACUUGGAAUGUUCCGAGCUUGAAACUUGACGGCCGACUCAUCUUAAUGGGGAAAAACCGAUUCGAAUCAUCGAUACUAAGGGAGAAAAAUACUAAGGGGCAAAACGAUUCGCCAGUCGGGUUUCUAUGGAAUAAACUUUGGGAGUCCGAAUCAACUGGGAAAGGGAAGAUGAGAUGAGUGAGAAACACCCGGAAUUGUUUAACGUGUGAGCUAAGGUAUAUCUAGUCUAUGUUGUUUGCAUUUUUAGUGAGGACAUUGAAUUCAUAUUUUGCAUAUCAUACAUACAUUAGUGGAUGGCCAGAGUUAGUUCAAAAUUUUUGAGGACAACAAUUUUUCUAAGGAGGGUGAAUGUAAAUGACCCAAUUUUUUUGGCAAUAACUUUUUUCAACUUUUCCGAAAUAUUUUGGGCUUUAUGUGAGGAGCUGAAAAUUUAUUAAGAGAGAUUAAUGGGAUAGACGUAGUAGAAGACAAUUUGGGGGUGUGUUCAGUACACCUUGAAAGUCUAGGGGUAAAAGUGUGAAGGGGUGAGAGUAUAUACGGACUUUUAGUCAAAAAAAAAAGAAAAAAAAAAGAGAAAUAUCAAUCCCACAGAGCCCCUUCAGCAGCCGUUCUCUCCCUCUCCCUCUUCUCCAUUUUCGUUUCUUGCCCAAAGCUCAAAACUCACCAAAAUCUCAGUCCCCUUCAAAGCCCACACCUUAAUAUCACUUUCUUCUACACGUAUUGAAGCUUUAUAUCUCGUUUAUUUUUUCCGCACCAAAGAGCUCAUAUUUCGGAUUGGAGUCAUUGGAGCUGGUUUUCAUUCAUUUUUCACUUGCCAUUCAAUACCAGCUCAAAUCUUGAGGUAUGAAGACACAUUCUACUUUCCGUUAGUUAUAUCUAAUAUUGUUUAUAGCAUAUGCCUUUUGUCUUGUUGCUCCCAUUUAUCUAAAUUGGUCAUUUGCUUCCAAGUGGGUUUGUUUGAGUUUAGAUUUGUGAUCUACCAAUUGAGAAACUGUUUGAUGAAAUUGAUGGUUGAAUUCCUCUCCUUUAAUGUCUAUUUAUUGCUCUAACUAUCAAAAUUUUUGACCUAUAGAUCUCACAUGUGUUUGGGUUGAAAGUCCACACCUCUAGGGUGAAAAUUUGCAUUGUUGUCCCUGUUAUGGCUGCUGCCCCUGUUUUUCCCAGCAGCAUUACAUACUCUAGUGUUUGAAGAUUUCCUACCAUCAUUUGUAUGCCCAUUUGGCCCCCGAUUGUCCAAGGUCCAUCCUUCCUCCAUCCUUCCGUAUUUUUGACCUACUUCCCACCAUUUGGACAACCGAAUUCACCUUGAUAUAUCAAUGAAUUUAAAACCUUGGACUGUGAUUUAAUAAAUUUUCUCUUAGUUUAUGAAUUGAACACGCGUCCGGUUGACUUUUUUUUUAUGAAAAUGGUGAAUUUUUUGGACUAAAUUGGGACUUUUGAGAGUUUUUGUCACAGACAAAUUGUUUUGAGAUGAUAUUACUGGAUAAAAAGAACUCUAGGGAUGAGACUCUUUGGAUGUUCCCUAGACUUGGGUGCACGGAGCCCCACGAACAUCCGGCCGGGGGUGCAACGGACCCAUGAAAUCCGGCGGGGGGAUACGGAGCCACGAAAAUCCGGCAGGGGUAACCGGAGCCCAUGAAAUCCGGCAGAGGGAUUACUUCCCUAAUAAAUUGAUGAGUAUUUUUUAAUCCUUAUAAAAUAAUCGGUUUGAUGUCUUGGCGAAACUAUAUUUUCAUAGAGAAACGAUAAUUUUUGGAAAUGUCUUGGAUUUUGGGGGGUGGGAUAUUUUAAACUUAAUUUUUGGACACUUGAACAUAAUAUUAGACAUAUGAACACAUUUGGAGUACUCCUUAGUGGUGGAGUUAAAAAAGUCUUUGUUCAUCCUAUCCUUAUCCAUUGGUCGUAUCCAUCAUUAUCUCACUCAUAGCAUGUUAUCAUGUUAUACAACCCUAGCUAAGGUAGAAUAGUUUUUCUGUCCUAUGGGCUAGUGAGCUCAACCAUAAUUUUCGAGGUAACUCGGUCAUGGACAUCGAGAUGAUGUUGAAAGUGUGGUUGCAUGACUUUGGAGUUCAUCGCGCAUGAAGUUAUUUUUUUUUCCUUUGUUUUAUCGUUUUUGAAAGACGGUUUGUAACUUUCUAUUUUAAAUCUUUUGACUAUUUGGUUAUUGUCAUAACCUUAAACUUGGUACUUCACCUGCAUUCGGGUUAAUGGAGGUUAGUGGAUAGAACCUUAUUUAACGCUCCAAUUGGUGGGAUAUUUUUGUUGACUUUUGACUAUUCAAAGGAAUAGUAUGAAAGCUUGACCUCGUCCGACGUGGAUUUUUAUUUUACUUUUGAUUUUUAAAUUUUAGGCGUGACAUUAGGAAUCUUUCUGGGAUUAGCGUUAGCGUUCGAUUUGGGGUUACGUUGAUUCCCUUCUUCAUAACGGUGUUCGAACGGCUUAGUACAAAUCUUCUGACUUUUACUUCUUGCGUCUGGACGCCCAAAUCUUCUUCCAUGUAGCGUUCGAAUGCUUUAGGCCCCCAAAAACACAACUUUCAAGUCCGCAUUUUGAACUGUAAGCAAGGGUGUUUCGAACGCUACAAUUCAAGUCCGCACUUUUCGAACUAUAAGUAAGGUCGUUCGACAAAACGUUUUUCAGGCAUUUUUCUUCCUGCGCGUUCGAACGCCUCUUCCAUAAAAAAUUCCAGAUUUCUUCACAUCGUUCGAAUAACAUACUUCUCGCUUUCCUUCUUCCUUUCUUCAUUAAGCGUUUCAGAACCCAUAAGGUAUUUUUUGCUCUGACCUUUUUUUCUUUUUUCUUCUUUCUCCUCUUUAUUGACGUUAACCUGCACUAGACUCUAUACAACUAUAAAUACAUAUAUGAUAAAAUUAAAAUAAUUAGAAAUAGAAUAAAGCCAACCUUAGGGUAGUUAAACGGCGUUUGGACUACACUCAUGCAUUCCAAUCACACACCCCAACUAACAUUUUGGCUGUCCCUAUCAACAUAACAAAAAGAUAAUAUCUUCUUUCGUAGAGUCCCGAAUCCAUUUAGCGUAUCACAAGCCUUUAAACCCCUAUAUUACCCCUAGUGGACGAGGUGGUGUCUUGUGAGGGUUUCCAGUGAUGAUAACCACAAACAUCACAUCAUGCAAUUUAUAAAUAUAAUUUAACAACAGCUUCUCAACAAAAAAUACAAUGCAAGCAAUUCAAAUCAACUCAAUCAUGCUACGCAAUUCUACCGAACUGUCAAGUGCAAAUAUAAAAUGAGAGAUUCAAGUGUGAAGUGGUAGAAUUGUAUUCCCAAAAUUCAACUAUUAUACGCAUCCCAUAACAACAACCUAUAGUGUCGAUUCAAAACUCACCAGUCAUACACUCUCAACAAUAAAACACACAAGUUUCUAACACGAAUUUCAAAAUUAUCCUUCUUCUCGAGAUCGCAUUAUAUAUCAUUACCAAGAAUUGUACAAAUUUGGAGGACGUAUCAAUUGGCCUCAAAUUAACAGAAUCCGUGAUAGGUGUAAAUCAUGUAAAUGGUGCCAACACUUCCAACCAUCACACUAACAUUAAACCAAUUCGAGUGUAUGAAGCUAUUCAAACAAUAGGUUCAACAAAUUUCCUUGAGUAAAUGUAAAAUCGCUCACAAAAAAAAAAAAAAAGAUCGGGGCUAUAAGCUCACAAGGUUGUUAAAUCUCCUUUACGGGUUUGCAAGUCAUGUAGAUUCGUAAUAAUCUUACUUUGAAAUACAAACUCGUUGCGUUAGUGUUGUAGGUUUUCUUCUCUCUCUAUAUUGCACAGACAGUAAGUAUCAAACAUGCAAGAUUGAUUUGACAUGAUAAUCCGCUGUAAAAUAUCAUAUUAUGCAAAAUCAUAAUGGGUUCAACGAUCUUUGAAAAUAAAAUAUGAUGAUUCAGUUAUGAUCCCAAAAACUAAAAAUUCUCAACAACAUUCCAAUAUAUGCAGCUCAAUCAUAAAGAUGGAAUGCAAAGAGUCAACAUUAAGUUCAAAGAAACCAGAAAACAACCUGCUUCACUUGAAAUGAUAAUGAACAUGUUUUUUUUUCAAUUUGCAAUUUUCUUUUUUCAUGACAUUUUUUUGGGACAACUUCUGCCUAAACAAUUGUAGCCAAGAAGUUAAAAACGCAUCCAUUCAAAAAAGCAUCCAACUAACAAUUAAAACAUCUAAAAUGCAGCACUGAUCAAAAACAUAAAAACAUAAAACAUAAACAUCCAGAAAUAAAAGAAAACAGUCAAAAAUGUAAUCUUCCCGCGUCAGCACACAUCCCACUUCCUCCUCCAUAGGAUACAACAUGCCCUUCAUAUCCUUGGAGCUACGUGGGACGACAGACUCCUCUCUAACAGCACACGCACAAUCGGGUACAGCACACUUUUUCUAAUCCAACAGUUGCAUUAAUCAUAUCUUUUCCCAAAUUCAACAAUUGCUUUUUUUAGCUCUCCCAUGCCUAUAGCUGAUUCCCCUCACUGUGCCUCUUCCUCCAGUUCCUUUCUUACUCUGCCCCUCAGAUCGGGAACAAAGAGCUCUUCAAUGGGCCCCUCGAGCUCAAUCCUAAUUGAUGGAAAGAAAUCUAAAGGAUAUUGGACUCCGCUUCUUUUGAAAACUUUGUCAGAAAUCCCGUGAAAGGCACUGAACCCCUCUUGUCCGAAGCCUAGAUGUGGCGCACAAAGAUCAAAACAUGAUACGAGUAAGGUCAAUGGUCUUCCCAGACCAAUGCCCAUAACAACUAGCCUAGCAACAUUCAGGGAACGUAGUUUCAAAGGAGCAGGGAAUGGACAUGAAAAACAGACAAAUAGAAUCAAAUACUGUCCCUGGAGCGUGUCUUGUUACACUGCACCUCACUGUCCCAUUUGUCCCCCUCUAAAGGAAAUUCUUGUGAACUACUGCUACGUCCGGCAUUCCAACAUUAGGAAAAUGCAAAAGUAUCAGGAGUUUUUCUUUGGGAAUCUCGAAAUUUCAGCAAAAGUACAGGAGUCACCUUUUUAAUUCUUUCCCCGCACCUAAACUACACCCAAUUUCUUCCUUCCUUGCUCAGUCUCUGGUUCAUGUUUGAUGUUUGCCAUGAACUCUUGGCACAAGUGUGAGACACCUAUUCCGCCUUAAAUUUUGCCAGAUUUAUCAACCCCUAGUGGUACAACUAAGGCCAGUGUUUUCUUAGGCAACUAAAUUAGCUUCCCUCAAGUACUGCCCGUUGCGAAAUCCAGACUUUGAAGGGCAAUGUAAGGUCUAAACUUCCAUGCACAAUUUUUUGACACAAUCUCCCAAAAUCUAAAUAAUAGCGUGGACGAUGAGUUUUAAAAUAAAAUCCACUCGCAACUUAAGUAAUUCUUUCAUGGGGGCAAUUCAUCGACCACCUUAGAGGGCACACACUAGUCCUCGGUUGGUUCAAGAAAAUUUUAACAUAAGAUUUCUUGGGGGUUUAGCAACUUAAAACAAGUCCCACAACACUAAUGAAAAGGAAAAAUCAUGCUGGUGUGUAUAUGUUUGAAUGUAUAUUUACCUACAAGUGAAACUUAAAUUUUUUUUUUGAAAACCUAGGGUUCUAAGAUGAACCCUAAAUCUAAAAAACUUCAAAGAAGGAAUUAUGAAUUUACCUUGAUUGUUCUCCAAAUGAUGAACUUUAACACUUAAAGUUUUCCCUCAACCGCACAAAUCUCUCUCUAUCUCUCGGAUGUGCACUGUGUAAGAAAAUUACUGAAUAAUGCGACUUUUUCAGUUUUAAAAAACGACCCUGGGCUGGCGUUCGAAUGCUCUGAGAGAGUUCGAAUGCUCAGUGCAUUUUGUUGAGGUUUCGAACGCUUGAAGUAUACGUCCGGAGGUGUUCGACGCUUAGUAGAAAAACAAUUUUUGUUUAUUACUUGGCAUGCAAACUAUCCUAAAAACUAAAUUAUCCUAACAUAAGGCUCCUAAAAAAUAAAACUACGAAUACUAUACUCCCCCCAACUAGAGACCGGCGUUCUCUGAAUGCAAUAAACCAAAAUAAGAAUCAAUGCACACAAAUAGACUAACCUCCACUCAUUUACAAACAAAAACCGAAAGUCGCAUUCUUUCUAAUUUAAUCGCACUCGUGAUCGGUAGAUCCACAAACUCAACCUCUCUCGUCUCCAGCUCAAAUGGGCUUCAAACGAUGCCCAUUGACUUUAAAACACAUUUCAUGCCUCGAUUCUCUAUUUCAACUCGCCCCAUGAUAUGAAAUAACAUGCACCACAAAAGAUCUGGACCAUCGACUUUGAAUUUUUCCCGAAAACAAAUGCAAACAAGAGUUUACAAAGCACUUUUUGACCCACUUUGAUGAUUUGCCGCACAAUCAAUUGAUCAUUCAUCAGAUGUCAUCUUAGCUUUUGCGAUUUUUGUAUUUUCGUAUGCACAUUCCCUUAAAUCUUCCUCUCUACUCAUUCAUGCAUUGACGUAAUGUCCCCGCCCUCCUCAAACUCAUGUUAAAUUGCGAAUAGCCCAUACGCUUUGUGCUCAAUUUUGACCGGAAGGUGACACCUUUUCCCAUACACAUCUUAUAUGGGGGACCCCCUAAAUGGUUUUGUUAUGCUCCUAUAAUGCCAUAAUGCGCCACUAACCUCAAAGACCAAUCCUUUCGGUUGGGAUUCACGGUUUUCCAAGGACUUUUUUUGAUUUCCCUAUUUGCCAACGCAACCUUGCCCUUGGGUUUGGGGAGGUAAGGCCGUGCACCUUAUGAAUCACUCCUACUUGCGCAAUUAGAGUCCUAUGGGCUAUUACAAAAAUGUGAUCCCCGCCAUCGCUCUAAUAAUAGCUCUGGGCAUUUCAAUCUACAAAAAUAUAUUCUCAAAAAACCUGACCACCACGCAUGGUUAUUGGUAUACUUGGUAUAAGCUUUACCCACUUUAGAUACUAAUCUAUUGCCACUAAAUUAUAUAUAUCCACCCUAUUAAUGAAAAGGACCCAUGAAAUCAAUACCCCAGCAAUCAAAACUGUCAAGUCUAAUAAUGGGGUAAGAGGCAUCAUGUGCCUUUAGAAACAGGACUCCUACUCUUUGGCUCUAUCGCAUUAUGACGUGCAGAAAGAAUGAACAUCACGGAACAAUGGUGGGGCUAAUAGAAACCACUUUGGCAAAUUUUGGCUAGUUUUUGCGUGACAAAAAUGUCAACCACAUGCUUGUGAAUGACAUAACUCUCAAUGCUCUUCAUCUCAUCAUUAGGAAUGCACCGAGUAGACCUGAUCAGGACAAUAACUUAAACAAAUACGCAUCUUCCCCAAGAGAAUACCUCACAUGCCCUAAAACUAACUUCUUCCUAUCAAUGCCUAAGACCAAUGUACAUGAAUCUCUGGUGACCAAUAUUGGCGAUGUCCGCAAACCUGGUACUGAAUUAUUUGCCUGAGUGGUGAUUUGAAACAGUUUGCCCUCAUCCAGGAAGACUCAUUGAUCGAAGAGUGUCUUUGGCUUCCCCAUCAGUAGGAAGCCUGACCAGUGGUUCAGUCUACUCGUUCGUCGACCCCUUUCUUAUCUCUGCUCUCAAUAUUCAAUUCUUGCAAUAACAGAAUCCCACCUAAUGAGUCGCGGCUUUGCUCAGGUUUAGUCAAGAGGUACUUUAGUGGCGGAAUGGGCAUAUAUAAUAUACAAUGAUCCGACCAAUAUGACCUAAAUUAUCGAGUGCAAAGACACAGCAGCAAUUCCUUUUCGGUGGUGGUAUAGUUCAAUUGGGCAUAAUUCAUGGCUUGCUAGCAUAGUAAUAUGCAUGAGGUUUCUGUAUCUAUCCUUUGCCCCAAAACGGCUUCCCACUGCAUAAUCAAUUCGCAAAAUUAACAUCAACUCAAAAGGUAGAGACCAAUUUCGGUGAUCGAUAAUUGGUGCAGUGAUGAGAAGACCCUUAAGUUUAUCAAAGGCUUCUUGACAUUGUGGUGUUCCACCAAAAGGACAUCUAAUGGGCCCACCAAGCGCGACAAAAGGUCUCGAUUGGAACUCAAACGUCAAUGAAAUGACGAUAAUAUCCAAGCAUGCCCUAAAAAUGAUCUAAUAUAUGCAACACUUAGGGAUAUGAUAGAUGUUGAUCAAGUCACUUUUGCUUUAUCUACCUCUAUCCCUUUGCAGACACAAAUAUGCCCCAAGCACGAACAUUGUCACCAUGAAGUGACACUUUUCCAAAUUCAAAACCAAGUGACUUUUCUUUCACAUCUACUCCAAAAACACUCUAAAUGCUAAAACAUAUUCAAAACGUAUUCCCCAUACACCGAAAAAUCGUCAUGAACCACCUCCAGGAUCUUUUCAACAUGUCGCUAAAUUAAAAUCAUGCACCUUUGAAAAGUGGCCGGUGCAUUGUAUAGGCCAAAGGCAUUCUCCUAUAAGCAUAAGUGCCAAAAGGACAGGGAAGGUGGUCUUAUCUUGGAUCCUCUAAAGCCACUCAAUCGAUUGAUAACCGAGACCAUUUAAAAAAUAAAAAAUGCUCGGCCCGCCACACGCUCUAAGACUUGAUCCAAAAAAGGAAGUGGGAAGUCGGUCUUUCUAGUUGCAGCAUUCAAUUUCGAUAAUCGAUGCACAUCGCCAACCCGUUUGAAUUCUAGUUGGCAAUAGCUCAUUAUGCCAUUCUUCACCACUGUUACCCUCGACUUUGGUGAGCAACUUGGGUGGACUCACCCCACUUGAACAGAAAUUGGGGAUAUGAUACCCUCAUCAAGAAGUUUCAGCAAUUCUCCUCUACAGCCCUGUCAUAUUGGGAUGUAAAUCCUUGCAUUGGAGCACAGGUUUAGACUCCUCUUCCAAAUACAAUACGAUGCGUGCAAAUGAAGGGAACUAAUACCGUGACGAUCCACUAUUGUCCAACCAAUGACUUCCUAUGCCUCUUAAGUUACUUUCAAUAGUGAUUCCUCUGGGCCUUCAAUCGGCUAGAUGAUAUGCAUGGGGUAAGACUCACCUCUCAAUAAACGAUACUUAAGUGUAGAUGGCAGGUUUCUUUCCGAAAUGUGGUUUUUCUUCAGAUGGAACAGGUUUAACUACACUUGGUACAAGAAGGUUCAAAAGUUGGGGUCCAAUGACCCCAUGCAUGACAGAAUCAAUCUCCUUAAUUACAAUGGAUGCAUCCCUAAAAACUUACACUUUCGGAUUCCCAAUUGGUCAUGGGACUCACUCCAAAUAGAGCCCCUCAAAUCGAAAUCCUCCAUGAACUCACGAUCCACAUGCUCUUGGAAUGAUGGACUCAAUUGGAAUUUAUUCCCAAUUUGGUCUACUUCCCUCAUUUUGUUUACCCACAGUGAAAAAUAUUGUCUCCAAAGUCAGAUUACCAAUGAAGUUUAAGUAAUCCAUGCCUACAAGGAAUAAACAGCAUUCGCAGUGGCAGGAAUGGCCUACCUAAAAUGACAGGUAUAUGCCGUAUAUAAACGAAAAUCACAAUCGACAGGUUGAGUAUCCAAGACUAAUGAAAUCUAGGGUAGUACACAAAUUCGACUGAAAUAAGUAGAUCCUCUAUGAUACCCCUCGGGAUUAAUAGAAUGUCGGCACUCCAGUGUAACUCGCGUUGGUUUUAGGUCUCUAAACCUAGAUCUUUGGUAUACGGAAUAGACAACAAAUUCACACUAGACUAAAUCGAGAAGUGGUCGAUCAAUCUAACACCCCCUAUUAGCACGAAAUAGUAGGACACCGGGUCCUUAUACUUCGGCACAGACUGCAUUGGAGAAUCUCACUCUGACUCUCAUUCAUCAUCGCCAUCUCUUUUACAUGUAAAUCCUGUUGACAGUACACAAUCUUUAAAAUUGCGCAUAAGAGGGGAAUCUGUUUUAAAUAUCAUAUAACAUCGAGAAUAUUAAUUCGACUUGUUUGAAGACAUCAUAAUUUCCGAAUUUUAAGUUGCUUUACGCACUUUUGCCAAAUCUUGUGGGAAUGUGAAUGGUUUUAAAAGUUCAACAGUAAUUUCCAUGGCCACUUUUGUGGCCGGCUCAGAAUCAUGCUCAUGUUUGCCCUUUGCCCUCUUUCCUUUGCUCCUAUUCUUUGUCUUUACUCUCACUACCCAAAUCCGUAGAUUCCUCCCCACUUGAAAUACCAUUUUGUGCAAUUGUGUAUCAAUGCCGUACCACUUCUAAGUAGUGAUGGCCUGACCUGCUCAUGGUUCCUCAAUGCAAUUGACCAGCUUAGGAUUUUGCGAGGUUGGACAGGGAAUCGCCUUGAUGUUGUGAAUUACAAAACUCUCAAGUAUAGAAUUCAUUUUUCCAAUGUUGCUCAAUAUUUGUGACUUUAGUACGCAACUCAUUAUCCUCAUUCUCCGAUGUGGAGGUGGAUAUUGGGCAUGUUGUGGUGCAGGUGGUAAAGCGCUUGGUGGUGCAGCAGUCUGUGUAGGGUGAUGAAUGUGGUGCUUGGUAAGUGGUUGUGG
rnacentral:lncRNA from 1 species